UUUUAAAUUGCUGUAGUAUUUUGACUAUACAAAGGUAUUGUAAUAAGGUUUUAAUUGAAUGCUAAAAGAAUGGAAUUACAGGGAAAAGUUUUUUUAAAUUUAAUAAUUGAAGUUAUUUUAAUUUGUGAAGAAACAAUUAUAUAAAUUAAAGACAAGAAGACCCUAAGAAUUUAAGAAUUUUUAUUAAUAUAUUAUAUGUAUAUAUAUAUAUAAAUAAAAUUCUUAGUUGGGGCAACUAAAAAAUAUAUUAAACUUUUUUUUUAAAAAAAUGACCCAUUAUUAAUGAUAAUAUGAAAAAAAUACUCUAGGGAUAACAGCGUAAUAAUUUUUGAUAGAUCUUAUAGACAAAAUAGUUUGCGACCUCGAUGUUGGAUUAGGAUACUUUUUUAAUGAAGAUGUUAAAAAAAGAAGUUUGUUCAACUUUUAAAUUCCUACUUGAUCUGG
rnacentral:rRNA from 1 species